UUCCAAAGUUUCUCGGUCACGUGCGCGCCCCUGCGGCCCGGAGGUCAGCGCGCAGUGACAAAGUACACGGGGGAGAGGGGGCGCGGGGGAGGUGGCCGGCGGGCUGCGCGGCUUCUCCCAGCCAAGCGAGCGUUCGGGACCGAGCCAGAAGCGCUCCUGGGGACUCGAGGAGGGGGAGUCUGGGAAAGGAUUCUAAAUGUAUGUGUUUCAUGACAACCAAGGCUACAAAGAUGAGACUUCCUGCCAUUAAGAAGCCUCAUCUUGGGUCCAAGGAGAGGGAGAAAGGAACUUAUUUUAAGGAACUGCAGAAGCCAAAAAGUCUAGAACCAUCUCCCUGACCGCAGCAGCUGAAGUACAGGCCCGGGUCCUGGGCAUGGCCAGCGACCCUCUCACCCAGAGAUUUCUGAAUUGAGAGGAUGUGAUGUAGGAAGCAGAGACAGUGGGGAAUCGGUUCAGCCACUAAGGGCGCAGAGGCAUCCGGUGUCCAUGGCCAGCAGUGGUACAGUUCCAGCCAGCAGACUACUCUGAGGUGUGAUUUUGGCUGUGGUCUUCCUUGUGUAGCCUCUCCGGGUUCCAGCCCAUUUUCCACAUCUGGCUCUUUAGCCUUCCUGGCAAUUCGGUGAGCCACCCAGUAUCCUCUCAUAAAUUCCCUCUGCUUAUUUUGGCCAGAGAUGAUUUCUGAUGCUUCCAGUUAAGAACACUGACUAAUAUGCUUUGUGAGAGAGAUCUGGAGGAUUAUUUCCUUUCAUAUACAAAAGUAAAUACAUAUGUACAUGCAUAAAUGAAUAAAAAUAGACAAUAGAAAUAAAGGAGGUACCUGACAUUUGUAGGUUUCCUACUAGGGUCUGCACACACAGCCCUAGAUGUUUUACAAGCUUUCUCAUUUAAUCCUAAUGAGCAAACUCAGGUCCAGAGAAUUUAACUUCUCUAAGACCAGGUGGCUAGUAAGUGGCAGACGGAGGAUUUGAAUCGAGGUUUUUUUUUUUUUGACUCCAAAGCAUAUCCCCUUUGCACUAUUAAAGGAACAUCUAGGCCAGAGAGUUGAUAGGAUGAUGCAUUGCAUUGUCUACAAAUUAUUUGCACACAUUUACCAUACGUGUGUGUAUGGGCACAGGCACACUGCAUGAGAGUUUGAAUAGUGUUUAAUAUCUAAACAUACAUAAUGAUGCUGUCUUAUGCAAAACUUGGACGUGAGAGCUAAGAAAUUGGGAAUGGGAGCUGGACUGAGCAAAGGGAACCUGGAUAUUCAAGGAAAGUAGAGAGUGAAAGCUCCCAGAAGUGAGCUUUGAAUGUGUGCCUGGAGUUUGUGCCUCUGUACGUCGUAGGCAAGGAGUCAGGGCACUUGAGGAAGAGCUUGUGCCAGAGUGAAUCACAGAACGCAGGGGUCUUGUCCAUCACCCCAGGAAUUUGUUUUCUGUGGAGCACUCCGCGUGACUAUCUUCUAGCAAGAGAAGUGCAGUUGGUCAGCAUCUUCCUGAGUGGGUGGGGCCUGGGCCAUCCCUAAGGAGAUACUAAGUUGGGCCGAAUCACAUAUGUGCCCCUCCCCAACGCACAUGUUAUUACCAAGGUGAUGGAGGAUGAAGAGAAACUUCAAAGGUACACCUAAUGAUUCAAAACAUGCAGCCUAAAGAAUGGAGGAAGGAGGAGAGUGGGACAGUGGUGUUAGUUUGCUGUGUUGGUGGUGGUAGCAGGAUACAACCCCAGAACCCUGGUGCUCUUCCAAGUGUGGUUUUUGAACUUCUGGCAUCAGAAUCACAUCAAAGUCUUUGCUUAAAUGCAGAUUACCUGCUCUACAAAAAUCCUUGUAAGAUCAGAAGCUCCUGGUGGGGCUUGGAAAUCUGCAUUUUAACUGCCUUACUCAAGUGCUUCUGAAGCUCGCUCAUGUUUAAGAAGCACUACCUAAUCACUUUUUUGUUUUCCCAGGAAGCUGUCGAAUUGAUGUUAGCGAUUCAGAUCUGGUUAAGCUCCAGUUGUCCAUUAUCCUGGCCAAAUAAGACAGAACCCCUAUAGAGAUGAAUUUUUCACCACCAAGAGAAGGGGCUGGAUCCCCAACACUUCUAACUUCCUCCUGCAAACAGAGAUGUCAGCAUGUAGGACUGUGUGGGACCAGAUCAGGACUCCCAGGAAGCCACCACUGGAAUUGUGUAUGAUGGGGAGAAAGUGGGGACUAACAGGCUGCUCCGCCAAAGCUGUACCCUUUAGAACAGAAUUAGGACAUGGAGAAAAGAGAAUUGAACCACCGCAAGGAGACAUGCUGGUAGCUGGUAGCAACCACAGAGUUAUAAAUAUAAUGCAGCUGAAUCCUCUCUAAAACAUGAUUUCAUUGCAGGCACAUAGGCAUGCAUGCACAUGAAUUCUGCUGAACGUAGGUCUUUUUAAAGCACACAGAUAAUAUCACAUUUCUCCUCCUCUCUGAUCUCAACUUCCAGGAGGAAUCUAUGAGAUGUGAUUUUAAAACAGAUACCAUGCUUCUUAUCGAGGUUUUGCUCAUCUUUCCUUCCCUUGUGCUACCUUUUCAGGUUGUUAUCUUCUCCAUCCCCUAUAUCUUCAAAACCACCUUCAAUGAAUUAUGAUUUUU